rnacentral:lncRNA from 1 species
GAAAAUAGACGGUCUAGAUAAUGUGGUACGUUUUUUUUUUUCACAUUCAUACAUCUCGAUGUCGACAUUAUCGAUUAGAGGGUUUUUUCAACAUUAAAACAACAUUUCCGAUAGAUUUUUGAGGUGCAUAUGUGAUUCUACAUUUUAAGGUUGCAACCAUAUUUAAACUUUUCCCUUAACAAAAUAAUGGUCAUUCAAGUACAUGGAUGCUACUCCCAGGCCGUUGUUUGUCCAUACCUUGCUUGGAAGCUUGAUAAAACACACCUAAAUUGGUGUUCUGUAGGUGCCUUCCUCUUUUUGGCAUGAAAUUAGACGCUCACCUUCAAAAUGUUUUUGUCAUGACUAUUUUUGUGCAUGAUCUAGCACCUAUGCAUAUUCUAAACCAUCCCCAAAGAGGAAGUUAUGGCAAAAAUUUAGUGUUCAUUGGCAUGUGGCAGAUAAGCUUUUCGCUUUCCUGCACCAGUUAAGAUUCUCAGUGGCACCUAAUUCGGUCUAGCCUAGAGUCCGCUCCUCCAUGUUUGAGAGAGGUUAGGAGGGCAUGUACUUUACUCCCUGGUUCCAUAGUAACUCUCUCAGCAACAAACAUUUAAAUUGCAGGACACUGAAUUAUCUCUGAUAUAUUUUGGACCUCAAACCUGUUUGAUAUCUACGAAAAAUUUCUCAUGCAUUGAGCUCUUUAUGGAGAGAUGUCAUCCUCUAUGCAUGCUGCUGGCCAUAGAGAACGCUGUGUAUUUUUCCUACUUUCAAGUAUGGGAAUGAUGUUAUAAGUCGCGAUUUAUAAUUUGGUAUUUUUUUUAUUUGUUGGAGCCCAUUUCAGGAGGUAAAGUUUCUCGGUGUUAGUUGCUUUCGCUUGGGAAUAAUGUAUAUAUAUUGUACUUGUAAAAACAUGAGCAUUACUUAAUAAUGUGUAGUGUCAGAUGAUUAGGAAUUUCCCUAUCCACAAUAUCUUUUUUUUUUUUUUGGAUUUAUGUUGGCUUUCCCAAGGCACAACUAUGUAUGCAUAGGAUAGGCUAUUCAAAGGAAUUAGCUAUUGGUACAAGUUGCACAGUUAUGCAAGGAAAGUGGUAUAUGUAGUCCUACAUUUCAGACAAAGCGAGGGUCCAUGAAUCUAGUUCCAAAAAAUUCAUCAAUGACAAAGCAGGUGCAUUACGGACAGAAAUGUCCAUUUAGGAGAAGAAACACCAUAUUAUGCUUACAUUAGACAUCGGUAUCCAUGCUUGAGGAAUUUAUGUAAGAACAAAAAUAUAGUACAUGAAAUUUCCUGUCUCUUUGAAUUUUCUUUCUACAUCAAAUCGGAUUUUUUUCCUUUUGACAUUAGUUUUAGCUAGUAUAACAUUUUAGCCAAUUAUCCUCUGGGCUCUAUUACCUUUAUUACUGCCCUUUCGAUGAUGGAUUUUUAUAGAACGGCACCUUAUCUUGCAUCCUAAUUAGAGGACCCUGGUGUGCGUUCCUCGAGUAUCCCCUUAUUUAAACACUGUCUGAUAUUAGAUUAUCCGUUUUCCAUUUGCUAUGAACCUUCCUUUCACAAUUCUUGCCACAUGGCAGUCUUGCUCAUUUAUUGAUUCUACCUCCAGUUAAAGUGACUAGAAUAGCUCCAAUGCUUCAUGCAAGAGAGAAGUGGUUGUCCUUUCCCCCAAAGAAGGGCAUUGCCCUUCUUUAAUCCUUGUGGUUGGAAGCAUAUAUGCUCUAGAUUCCAAAAUGCAGCUCUAUGCUCUCUCUCUCUC